rnacentral:rRNA from 1 species
CCUACGGGAGGCUGCAGUGGGGAAUAUUGCACAAUGGGGGAAACCCUGAUGCAGCGACGCCGCGUGAAGGAAGAAGUAUUGCGGGAUGUAAACUUCUAUCAGCAGGGAAGAAAAGGACGGUACCUGACGAAGAAGCCCCGGCGAACUACGGGCCAGCAGCCGCGGUAAUACGGAGGGGGCAAGCGUUCUCCGGAUUUACGGGGUGUAAAGGGAGCGGAGGCGGGUUCGCAAGUCAGAAGUGAAAGCCCGGGGCUCAACUCCGGGACGGCUUUUGAAACUGUUGAACUAGAUUGCAGGAGAGGUCAGUGGCAUUCCUCGUGUAGCGGUUCAAUGCGUAGAUAUUAGGAGGCACACCAGUGGC